rnacentral:hammerhead_ribozyme from 1 species
AUUCGGCUGACGAGUCCCAAAUAGGGCGAAACGCGCGUCCUGGAU